rnacentral:lncRNA from 1 species
UAAUUUAAUAUAUUGUGUGAAAAUUUUCAAAUACCACCCCGCUAGUUCCGCACAUUCUCACUUUGGUACCAUAUGAUUUAAAGUGUACCUAUUUAAUAUCAUGUGGUUUUUUUUUUUAUUAUUAUUCAUUUCACUAAUUUUUUCAUUAAAUUAGUGAUAAGGUUGAAACUAAAAAAUACUAAAAUAAAUAUUCGAUAAACCUAGGUGGGAUAUCUGAAGUUUUUUUGUAUAUAAUUUAACAAAAUAUUAGCGAAAGAGCUGACGAAAAGGAAAAAAUAAAAAAUAUAGAGUACUAAAUUGAUAUACUUAAAACCACAGAAUAUUAAAAUGAGAACGUGUGAAACCACAAGGGUGGUAUAUGAAGUUUG